GUGCCUGACAAUCUCACCCUUAGUCAUGAAACGUUUCCCACAAACAUCACACUUGAACCCUUUAUGACCAGAGUGUCUGAAGACGUGCAUGUCCAAUAUACUCUUCAGUUUGAACCUUUUCCCACAAACUUCACACUCAUGACUUCUUGCAUCAGUGUGUGUAACAAGGUGUAAUUUGAGGGUACCCUUCUGACUGAAACAUUUCCCACAAACUUCACACUCAUGAUUUCUUUCACCAGUGUGUGUAAGAGUGUGUAAUUUGAGGGUACCCUUCUGACUGAAACAUUUCCCACAAACUUCACACUCAUGAUUUCUUGCACUGGUGUGUGUAAGGGUGUGUGUGUUGAGGUGACCCUUCUGACUGAAACAUUUCCCACAAACUUCACACUCAUGGUUUCUUGCACCAGUGUGUGUAAGGGUGUGAUGUUUGGGGUUACUCCUAUUACUAAACCUUUUGCCACACUCCCGACUUUCAUGAGGUCUUACACCAGAGUGUGUGGGUGUAUUUGUUGAGGUCAUCCUUCCCUGCAUGUCUUUUCUCACACUCUUGGCUUUGGUCAGUAAACUUGCUCUCAUUCUCAGAUCUUCUCACACUUCUGAAAUUCAAACUUCCCCCUUUGUGGAUGAAGAGGCCAGCAGUUGUUGUUGUUGUUGUUGGUUGUGUUGGUGGUGUUUUUUAUCACUCCUGAACCUCACACCAGUAGCAGUCUGCUCCUGCUGAUCCCAGCCACUCCAGCUGCUGUCCCGCCUUGCAGCCUCCACUGCAACACUACUCUGGAUGUGAGGAGUUGGCUGGCCUUGAGGAACCUCAGAGAUGCUGGAGAAGGCGGCGAGGUUGCUUCAAAGCCACACUCAGUGACCAAUUGAGCAGGCAAGGCGAGGGAUGCACCAAGGAGUCCUGAAGUCAGCGGCAGCAGGGACGGAACAAGUACUGACCACAGCAACUGUCUCGAUGCCUCACUUCAACACUAACACCAGUGGUGGACAUUGGGACACAAGUCA